rnacentral:lncRNA from 1 species
GUGACAUUAUUUCGUGUCAUUUCAGUGCCAUUUUGGUGCCAUUUUGGUUCUGUUCUGGCCCUGUUGCAGUGCCAUUUUGGUGCCAUUUUGGUGGUGUUAUUUCGUGUUAUUUUGGUGCCAAUUUGGUGCCAUUUUGGUGUCAUUUUGGUGCCAUUCUGGUGCCAUUUCAGUGCCAUUUUGGUGCUUUGUUUGUC